rnacentral:rRNA from 1 species
AUACGGAGGGUGCAAGCGUUAAUCGGAAUUACUGGGCGUAAAGCGUACGUAGGCGGUUAUUUAAGUCAGAUGUGAAAGCCCCGGGCUUAACUUGGGAACUGCAUUUGAAACUGGGUAACUAGAGUUUAGUAGAGGGGAGUGGAAUUUCAGGUGUAGCGGUGAAAUGCGUAGAGAUCUGAAGGAACACCAGUGGCGAAGGCGACUCCCUGGACUAAAACUGACGCUGAGGUACGAAAGCGUGAGUAGCAAACAGGAUUAGAAACCCCGGUAGUCC